rnacentral:tRNA from 1 species
GUAACAGCCGGGAAGCCGGAACCGCUGCCCUCCGAAGGCAGAGGCCACAGGUUCGAAUCCUGUCGGGUGCA